AAAACAUCGUGAAAGGUCACCUUUUCUGGCAUCCCCUCAUUAAACUAGCCGCAUCCUGUGAUCAUGUACUUUUUAGCUGUGAUUUUUUUUAAAUUUCUUUUUCUCUCUCCCUUUUCUUUCUUCAGUUUCAAAAGGGCAAGGUCGCUUGGUCAAAAUCUAUCACUCCAAUUAACGGUACGAAGUGAGAUAAUUAACCUCCAUUGUUUCGCUUGUUCUUGCAUGAGAAAUUGUCUAGGACAUUCAAGGAAUAUUACUGCAGAGAAACAGGACUUAAGAACUUGGAUUUAAGUUUUAUGCAAAUUGAAAAAGUGCAUGACAUAAUGAUACAGUUAUAAAUAAUGCAUUUAAACAUUUCUUUCAAGGCUUUCACAUGGCAAUAAAUAUCUCUAAUGUAAUCCCAAGCAAUAAAGGAGCAUUAGCCAUUUUCGUCAAAAUUAAGUGCGUCUUUUUGAAUCGAGACUUCUGUCUCAUAUUUUUUUUCGCACAGACUUGUAUGGCAAAUAUGAUUCCGAGUUCAAAUGCAAAUACAAUCAUCUUCUGAUUUAAUGGAUUAACGAGAUUGUGGAUAAACCAAGAUAUGUCCUGAAAAAAAGAUUAGAUUUGCUUAUUGUGGAAAGAUGGAAAAAUUACAAUCAUAAAUCAUCAAUAUCAAAAUAAAUCGAUCUGUGGGAACUGUAUUUUCUCACAGAUCUCUUUUUUUUUUUUUUUUUUUUUUUUUUUUUAUGUUGACCAUUUGAGAAUGUAAUUUUUGAUCGUUCGACAAUAAAUAAAUCUCUUAUUUUUAAAGAAAAAGAAAAUUGUUUGGGAUAUCAGCAAUGACAGUGGGAGAUGUCAUAGUAUAUGGAAAAUAUUUCUAUCUAUAACAGUAGGUUAAUGCGGAGUCCUUUAUUCCAUUUCUUGAUUUCAUUAAUGCUGUGAAAAUAUUUCUUCAGGAAUCUUGCUUUGAAAACGAAAAUUUUUACCGAAGAACUUACCUUUGAGUACUUUUUUGAAAGAUUUCUCAUCAAGAAAAUAAUAUUUAAAGAAUAAGUCAACAUCUAAAAAAUGAUCAUCCCCCUUGAUCUCCUACAAGGGAAGCCAAAUUUCAGGACAAUAAGAGCCCCACGUUUGGAUUCAAGAAAUUUUGAGAGUCGCAACUAGAUUUUGUGAGUCACAAUAUCCUAUUUGCAUCGUUUAUAAGCAACGAAGUAGAUUUUCAUGAAAUGUUUGAGCACUCCUGUGUGGUGUACCGUUGCACAUUCGGCGCAUAUUCGGGAAGUCCUGUUUCGAGUCCCGGCGACAGCAUUGCGCAUUUUUCUUGUCUCCUGCUUCAAAGAAAAAUAAAGACUCUACAGCUUUAAUUUUUCCUACUAUAUUAGGAAAAAUUUGUUUCACGAUAUACAGAUUUGAAGCUAUUGAAAUAAUGCAACUGAACAUACUUUUUUCCAGACAGAAAAGCCAAGCAAAAGAUUUUCUUCCUUUCUCCUCUCUUUUAUCAUUGUUGAAUAAGCCGUAAUAAAAUUAUAGUGAAAUCGAAAGGAGGAAUUAUAUUGG